AUGUGAACUCGGCUACUUUUAUUUAAGGCAAGAACUUGCAUUGUUGUCCUUUGCAUAUCUUAAUACAUGUAAAUGUACAUGAUACGUUGUUUUUUUCCCUUAUCUGUUAAGGCAUUGCAUUGUUUUCUAGCGGACCAAUACAGCAUCCAUAUAAAACGCUGAUUUUUUUUCUUUUCUUUCUGAGGUAUUAAGCAGCACAAUAUUUACAAUGGGUAUAAUUUGAGUCAUUUGUCUUCGAUUCUGUAUGCAAUAGAAACAUGGAAAGAAACGCCUUAGAACAUUAACACUUCCUCUUCUGUGUAAGUAGAGAAAAAGAUAUUGCACUAUUUUUUUCUUUUUUGAUGUCUUUGUAAUGCAAUAAAUGCACUAGGUAGAACAAUAAUCGCAAUGGACACAUAAUUGGUCCUCAGACGUGAUGUUGGCACACACUAUCUUUCUCUCUUUCGCUCCUUCAUCUUUCUGACAACAUGACAAAUAAAUCCUGCCUGAUGCUGUAUAUGCUUUCUAUUUAAAGAAAAUGCCACUAGUUAUAAUAAAAAACAAAACAAAAAAAACAUUUUAUGUACUUUUAACACUCCA